AAUCAACGCUGGCGGCGUGCCUCAGACAUGCAAGUCGAACGCGAAAGUCCCCUUCGGGGGACAAGUAGAGUGGCGCACGGGUGAGUAACACGUAGGUAAUCUACCUUCGGAUGGGGAAUAACAACCGGAAACGGUUGCUAAUACCGCAUAAUGCAGCGGCACCUAAUGGUGACAGUUGUUAAAGCGGGGGAUCGAAAGACCUCGCGUCUGAAGAGGAGCCUGCGGCGGAUUAGCAGUUGGUAAGGUAACGGCUUACCAAGGCGACGAUCCGUAGCCGGCCUGAGAGGGCGGUCGGCCACACUGACACUGACAUACGGGUCAGACUCCUACGGGAGGCAGCAGUCGGGAAUUUUGGGCAAUGGGCGAAAGCCUGACGCAGCGACGCCGCGUGAGGG
rnacentral:rRNA from 1 species